rnacentral:tRNA from 1 species
GCCCAGGUGGCGGAAUUGGUAGACGCGCUGGUUUCAGGUACCAGUGGGUAACACCGUGAAGGUUCGAGUCCUUUCCUGGGCA